rnacentral:rRNA from 1 species
GCGAGGUGGUGCUAAUCCUAGAAAGUCUCUCGUAGUCCGGAUUGGAGUCUGCAACUCGACUCCAUGAAGUCGGAAUCGCUAGUAAUCGCGGAUCAGCAUGCCGCGGUGAAUACGUUCUCGGGUCUUGUACACACCGCCCGUCAUACCAUGGAAGUGGAUUGCACCAGAAGUAGAUAGUCUAACCUUAGGGAGGGCGUUUACCACGGUGUGCUUCAUGACUGGGGUAAAGUCGUAACAAGGUAGCCGUAGGGGAACCUGUGGCUGGAUCACCUCCUU